UCCGUAGGUGAACCUGCGGAUGGAUCAUUU
rnacentral:rRNA from 3 species